AGUGAUCAGAAGUGAGAAUGUUGACAUGAGUAGCGACAAACAGGGUGAGAGACCCUGUCGCCGAAAGUCCAAGGGUUCCUGCUUAAAGCUAAUCUGAGCAGGGUAAGCCGGCCCCUAAGGCGAGGCCGAAAGGCGUAGUCGAUGGGAACCAGGUUAAUAUUCCUGGGCCAGGAGAUGGUGACGGAUCGCAGAGGUAGUUCUUCCUUAUCGGAUUGGAAGGGCUGCUGAGUGGUUCCUGGAAAUAGCCCUCCACAAGACCGUACCCUAAACCGACACAGGUGGACUGGUAGAGAAUACCAAGGCGCUUGAGAGAACCACAUUUAAGGAACUCGGCAAAAUACCUCUGUAAGUUCGCGAGAAGGAGGCCCCGUUUGUACGCAAGUAUGGGCGGGGGGCACAAACCAGGGGGUGGCGACUGUUUACUAAAAACACAGGGCUCUGCGAAGCCGUAAGGCGACGUAUAGGGUCUGACGCCUGCCCGGUGCCGGAAGGUUAAAAGGAGAUGUGCAAGCAUUGAAUUGAAGCCCCGGUAAACGGCGGCCGUAACGAUAACGGCCCUAAGGUAGCGAAAUUCCUUGUCGGGUAAGUUCCGACCUGCACGAAUGGCGUAACGACUUCCCCGCUGUCUCAAAUGUGGACUCAGCGAAAUUGAAUUGUCUGUGAAGAUGCAGACUUCCCGCGGUUAGACGGAAAGACCCCAUGCACCUUUACUAUAGCUUCGCACUGGCAUCAGGAUUGUGAUGUGCAGGAUAGGUGGUAGGCAUUGAAAUCGGGACGCCAGUUCCGGUGGAGCCUUCCUUGAGAUACCACCCUUCGCACUCUUGAUGUCUAACCGCGGCCCGUUAUCCGGGUCCGGACCCUGCGUGGUGGGUAGUUUGACUGGGGCGGUCGCCUCCCAAAAAGUAACGGAGGCGCGCGAAGGUUGGCUCAGAGCGGUCGGAAAUCGCUCGUUGAGUGCAAUGGCAGAAGCCAGCCUGACUGCAAGACUGACAAGUCGAGCAGAGACGAAAGUCGGCCAUAGUGAUCCGGUGGUCCCGAGUGGAAGGGCCAUCGCUCAACGGAUAAAAGGUACGCUGGGGAUAACAGGCUGAUGAUGCCCAAGAGUCCAUAUCGACGGCAUCGUUUGGCACCUCGAUGUCGGCUCAUCUCAUCCUGGGGCGGGAGCAGGUCCCAAGGGUACGGCUGUUCGCCGUUUAAAGAGGUACGUGAGCUGGGUUUAGAACGUCGUGAGACAGUUCGGUCCCUAUCUGCCGUGGGUGUAGGAUACUUGAGAGAGUUGCCCCUAGUACGAGAGGACCGGGGAGAACGUUCCACUGGUGGACCAGUUGUCGUGCCAACGGCAGUGCUGGGUAGCUAUGAACGGACAGGAUAAACGCUGAAGGCAUCUAAGCGUGAAGCCCCCCUCAAAACAAGGUAUCCCUUGAGAGCCGUGGAAGACCACCACGUCGAUAGGCCGGAGAUGUAAGUGCAGCAAUGCAUUCAGUUGACCGGUACUAAUGGCUCC
rnacentral:rRNA from 1 species